AAACCAACAGGGAUUGCCUCAGUAACGGCGAGUGAAGCGGCAAAAGCUCAAAUUUGGAAUCGCUUCGGCGAGUUGUAAUUUGAAGAACUGAAUCCGGGGGCAGCCUGUGCCUAAGUUCCUUGGAACAGGACGUCGCAGAGGGUGAGAAUCCCGUGCGGUGUGGGUGCGUCUCCGUGUGGAUUUUGUUCGACGAGUCGAGUUGUUUGGGAAUGCAGCUCUAAGUGGGUGGUAAAUUCCAUCUAAAGCUAAAUAUUGGCGAGAGACCGAUAGCGAACAAGUACAGUGAUGGAAAGAUGAAAAGCACUUUGAAAAGAGAGUGAAACAGUACGUGAAAUUGUUGAAAGGGAAGGGCUUGACCUCAGACUCGGGUGCCUUUCGGGGUGCUCGGGCCAGCAUCGGUUUCUGUGGCGGGAGAAUGGCGCGGGAAUGUGGCUCUGCUUCGGGAGAGUGUUAUAGCCCGUGCUGAUGCCGCCUGCGGAGACCGAGGACUGCGCAUUUUGCACGGAUGCUGGCGUAAUGAUGUUAAGCCGC
rnacentral:rRNA from 1 species